ACCAGGCGCAGUGGUGCAUGCCUGUAAUCCCAGUGACUUGGGAGGUUGAGACAGGAGGCUCCCAAGUUCAAAGCCAGCCUUAGCAACUUAGGUAGGCCUUAAGCAACUUAGUGAGACCCUAUCUCUA
rnacentral:sRNA from 1 species